rnacentral:rRNA from 1 species
GAUGAACGCUGGCGGCGUGCCUAAUACAUGCAAGUCGAGCGAACGGACGAGAAGCUUGCUUCUCUGAUGUUAGCGGCGGACGGGUGAGUAACACGUGGAUAACCUACCUAUAAGACUGGGAUAACUUCGGGAAACCGUAGCUAAUACCGGAUAAUAUUUUGAACCGCAUGGUUCAAAAGUGAAAGACGGUCUUGCUGUCACUUAUAGAUGGAUCCGCGCUGCAUUAGCUAGUCGGUAAGGUAACGGCUUACCAAGGCAACGAUGCAUAGCCGACCUGAGAGGGUGAUCGGCCACACUGGAACUGAGACACGGUCCAGACUCCUACGGGAGGCAGCAGUAGGGAAUCUUCCGCAAAGGGCGAAAGCCUGACGGAGCAACGCCGCGUGAGUGAUGAAGGUCUUCGGAUCGUAAAACUCUGUUAUUAGGGAAGAACAUAUGUGUAAGUAACUGUGCACAUCUUGACGGUACCUAAUCAGAAAGCCACGGCUAACUACGUG